rnacentral:rRNA from 1 species
AAUCAACGCUGGCGGCGUGCCUCAGACAUGCAAGUCGAACGAGAAGUCCCCUUCGGGGGAUGGAUAGUGGCGCACGGGUGAGUAACACGUGGGUAAUUUACCUUUGGGUGGGGAACAACAGCCGGAAACGGCUGCUAAUACCGCAUAAUGCAGCGGCUCCUCAUGGAGACAGUUGUUAAAGCGGGGGAUCGCAAGACCUCGCGCCUGAAGAGAAGCCCGCGGCAGAUAGCUAGUUGGUAAGGUAAUGGCUUACCAAGGCGACGAUCUGUAACCGGCCUGAGAGGGCGGUCGGUCACACUGACACUGACAUACGGGUCAGACU